GACGAACGCUGGCGGCGUGCUUAACACAUGCAAGUCGAACGGAAAGGCCCUGCUUUUGUGGGGUGCUCGAGUGGCGAGCGGGUGAGUAACACGUGAGUAACCUGACCUUGACUUUGGGAUAACUUCAGGAAACUGGGGCUAAUACCGGAUAGGAGCUCCUGCUGCAUGGUGGGGGUUGGAAAGUUUCGGCGGUUGGGGAUGGACUCGCGGCUUAUCAGCUUGUUGGUGGGGUAGUGGCUUACCAAGGCUUUGACGGGUAGCCGGCCUGAGAGGGUGACCGGCCACAUUGGGACUGAGAUACGGCCCAGACUCCUACGGGAGGCAGCAGUGGGGAAUAUUGCACAAUGGGCGGAAGCCUGAUGCAGCAACGCCGCGUGCGGGAUGACGGCCUUCGGGUUGUAAACCGCUUUCGCCUGUGACGAAGCGUGAGUGACGGUAAUGGGUAAAGAAGCACCGGCUAACUACGUG
rnacentral:rRNA from 1 species